CGGGCGCGCGGCGGAAGGGAAUGGUUGGUCUCGCUGACGGCUGUGCCCGGGGCAGGUGACGCGGGGAGCGUCUCCCUGAGGGGCCGUGGGGCCUCCUUGCCCCCGGGGUGCUUCAGCCGCGGGAGGCCCCGGGGGAAGGCCGCGGCUGUUCCUGGGGUCGCUCCGUGGAGGGUUGACGUGCCGCCGGCGCCCGACCGGGAAGGGCUUCUGCCGGGCAGGCGGCGCUGCCUCAGCGCUCUGUCAGGCCGCGGGAAGGCAGAGGCCCAGCGACCCCGGACGUAGCCUAGGCCCUGGCCGGGUGGGUUUAGAAGUAGUGUGAGCGGUCAGAGUCGUGGCUCAGUUCCUCUCUUGCUGGCUGAAAGAGUGGUUCGAACCAGGAGAUUGCUGAGACAAUUCAACACAUCUGAGCCUGAUACUGACUCUGCAGAAUCUCGCUAUAAACUCCUGUUUCGGGGAGGACGUUGGCAGUUGUUAAUCUGUAGUGUGUGCUCUGCUGAUGUUUGCAGAAGUGGUGAGAAGUCAUUUUGGCAAAUGGAUCCCAUACAAUUACUACGUGCUUGUUGCCUUUUCAAACUGCUUAUGAUCAAGUUAAUCAAGAAAUUUCUCCACUUCAUUGACUAAGGAACUUCAUUAAUCAACUUGCCAAAAGUAAAACUGUUGCAGGGAGUCGAGUAUCUGAGGACCAGAAUCUGAACUACAAAAUCCAUCCUCCUCUUAUACACAAUACUGAGAAGAGAACAUCUUGCCAGGCUCUUCUAUCAAGUCUACCUCCAUUUUUGGACCUAUCUUUCAGAGACAAUAGUUUAGGGGGAAAAAAAAACAAACAAACAAACAACAAAAACCAAACCAAAGUUACCAAUUAAACAUAAGUGCCCUUCCCAUGCAUCUUUAACUGAAAGCAUUGACUUUAUAUAGCAAGAUUAAAAACCAGACCUAAAACGCCCCUGCAAACGGAACAGCCAGAACUAUCUUUUAGUUGAUUGUACAAAUCAAUCAGAACAAAACCAAAGGGUACCACCUUGAGCUACAGCAUGUUUUCAUUACACAAGCAGGAUGGACAGAGAUUCACAAUGCACAAAGAACACACAUGAAAGACCGUUUAUGCUUCACACAAGUGUUCACGAUAUGUUCUGUGCCCCAGCUCUUCACAUACUACUCUCAGAAAUCGUAAGGAACAUUUCUGUCAUUCAUACUAACAUUUGAAAGAAACCCAAGAUAAACACAUUGCCUUGCUAAAAAUAGAGUCACUAAAGAGAAUCAAUCACGAUGAAGCUUCACAAUUGACUUAAGCCAAUUUUUGAGAAUCCACAUGCUUCUACCUCACCCACUCAAAGUUUCACCACCCUUGUGACAGCAUCUAGUGCUUAGGUAGCUGUGAGGUCAGCUGGAUCAUAUCUCUACCUUCAGUGAAAAGUAACCCUACAAGAAAACUCACCUGAAAACAAAGCAGCAAGCUGAUCCAGCUGACUUCCCAGCGCACAUCAAAGCCAGCAAGAAUGAGCAGGUAGGAAGAUCCCAUUCUGCAACAGCACCACUCCAGAUCAGCUGAAGCUGGUCACAAAAAUUUCAACCUCAGCCAAGCUGGAAAAUGACAUCAUUGUUCUCCUUCAAAUUUGUUUUUUGCUAACAGAACAACAAAAGCAAGACAAUGCUUACAGUACCACUACACCAAUACCACUGCUGGUCACACUGAGUAGCACUGUUUUGUUUUCCUAGUUCCCAGUCUUGCCUUUUAUUCAGAUUGUAAACACCUCUCUUUUCCAUGUUCAUAAAAUGCUUGGCGUAAGGUUCUUCCAUUCUAUGGCAAUACGGAAUUACUACUACAUGCCAAGCCCCAAGGAAACAAUGGACUCUUUAAAGACUAAGCUAUCAAACUGGUAUGUCUCCUUUCCAGUGAAGAUCAGAACAUGCAUUAAUCUUACCACAAAACUUACUCACAGGUUGUGCACUACAGGCAAUGCAAGUGGGCAAUGACCUUACACAUCACAUCCUCCUUGAAAGCGUUCAAAGAGAAACUAUCCAGAAUAUAAAGAAAUCAUCUGAGAAGUGAGCAGCAGUAAAAGCAGCCGGUCAGUUGACUGACUCUGAAUUCACAUUUCCAGAAAGAAGAUGAUGCAGUCAGGGACUCCACCUUGCUAUGAAACUCUGAAGCACUACUAGCUAAUGGGCACACACUUUGAUGUCAUUAAAUUUGUUCACUACCAGAAUCACAUUCGUCAGUUUGUAUUUGUGUCUUGCCCUCUGUGUUUAAUUUCAGGCAGCUGGCAGAUAGUUAACACAUGUCGACAGAUGGCAAAGGAUGGAGAAGUGAGAAACUUCACCUGCUAAAGGGCAUCUCUACCACCCACACUAUACCUGGCAUGGAAACUAAUAGGCUCUGAAGACAGACAUGGGUAUCACAUGCAGUUGACAGAAAACAAAUACUCUUGAGACAAGAAGCAACACCUGGCUAUUUACUCACAAGCCACUGGAAAAAAAAAGUGAAUGGAAGUGCCAGUUACAGGCAUCAGAGAUUUAUUUACACUGAGUUUCGGUCACUGCUCAGUGGACUUUGAGUAGAGUUACAAACUGCAAGAGCACGACUUCUCAUUCCCUUCCUGGGAUCAGAAAUGAGAAUUCAUCUUGAUUUUUCAUUACAUGCGCAAAGCCAGAAGAUACAUUAACUUGCAAAGCAAGUGGAAAUCAUUUUUCCCAUACAGAGUCCAUAUUUGUGUACAGAAGAGUAACUGCAUUGCAUUCUCACCACUACAACCCCAGGACUACAAAACUAGGUUAUAAUUCUACGAAAUGCACAGAACAGACACGGGAUCCCCUGAACAAACUAAAAGUCUCUAAGAAGAAACAAGAGCCGAUGAUUUACACUAGUGCAUCCAAGGCAAGAUAUGAAUCCAUCAAAGAAAGAAGAGGUAUCAGCUAACAUUCAGAAACCAACCCAUCCAUGCCUUGGAAAAUUCACCUGAGAAAACAGAAGAGAGCAUUUGGUAAGGAAGUUUUUAAACACAAAUACACCUAUCAGAUCUGCCUGGAAAAAAAAAAAGCAAACAAAAAUAUUCGAUUCCAGGCAAUUAUAUUCUCAAGCAACUGGAAACUAAUCAACUUCUUGUAUUUAGGGAAUGACUUACAGAUCUUGGAUUUUUUCAUCCUUAACAUCACUAUUAUCAAAAGAAUUAUGUCCUGAACACAUACACAUAACUAAAGGAACAGAAGAAGCUGCAAAUUGAUUACUUCUUUUUUAGAAGAUGCUUCAUUCCUUGUCAUUUCCUGAAAUAGUAAAAAUAAAUAAAUAACUAAAACUA